AAUGGAUCGAACACAAAAAGAUGCCUUUCUUAUAAAAUUCUGAUCCCAAAAUACAACCCAUAUUCUCUCUUAUCAGCCACACCUAUCCAUAAAAUAAAGGAUAUAUUUAUAUUGGCUAGGGCUACUAUACUCUUAUGAGUAUAGAACUCUUUGCACUCAUAAGUUUUCGACCGUUAGAUGAAGGGAUGUGCGGUUAGAAUGAUAGUGGUCCCCGGUUAGGUUAAUAGUAGUCCCCUAGGGUUGAGUGGGUAGUUGGUUGAAUAGUAUGAUAUAACAGGUAGAAAUAGUCAACGGAGUAGAUCUAACGGUCGAAAACUUUGAGCACAAAAGAGUCUAUAUUCAUAAAAGUAUAGUAGCCGGACUCUAUUUAUAUUAAUGACUAACACCCACUAAGAUUUAGAAGAAAUACCAUA
rnacentral:lncRNA from 1 species